rfam:Proteus mirabilis strain HI4320, complete genome
UUCUCCGCUACGUCCCCUCGCGACUAAUGGAAAUAUUUAACUUAACCACGUUUAAACACUUUCAUUAGCCGCGCGAAUUGUCGCAACUAGAGAGACUAAAUAACCAUCACCACAUUAAAACAUAACGACUCAUUUUUGAAAUAGCACUUUCUUAAAAAUAGCACUUUCUAGUAGAAAAGGGGCCUACGGGCCCCUUUUC